AGCCUGUUCCACGAUGUCGAAAGAACACGUUCGCACAACUUUUACACGACAAACAGCUGAUUUCCGUUCCACUAAAAUCCAUCAGAACGAAAAUUUGCACGAAAAUCAAAGCGAACGAAAACGUAAGCGUUUCAGUGUAAUUUUGCGUUCCACUAUCUUUUUUCUUUCGUACGCAUGCGAACACAAAUGUCAAAAUCAGUCACUUGUGUGUUUGCUGUCGAAUGAUAAAAAUUAAGGAAAAUUGUUUUAACAUAAACAUUCCUCGAUUGAAAAUGGAAAGAAAAAUCACGAAAAAACUACACAGCUGCGGGCACUAGUUGAGUAUAUGGGGGAGAAUCCUAAGUUCGCCAGAGGAGUGCCAAUUUUUGGAAGCAGCAGGCAAUCCCAUGAAGACCACUGGAAGACACAAACCUAGAAAAAAUCAUUUUUUUUAUUAUUUCAAAAAUGUAAAAAUACAAUCAUACUUACUGGUUGUUAGGUACUUCAAAUAAAUUCGAAGCAUCUCUUAAAUGCCUCCGUGGCACAAUUUGAA